UGUAGUGCCAAUGUAAUCUAUGGGAGUUGUACCUUGUCAUCCGUACCAGCAGGUGUGUGUUUGGUGUUAGUGUAGUGCCAAUGUAAUCUAUGGGAGUUGUACCUUGUCAUCCGUACCAGCAGGUGUGUGUUUGGUGUUAGUGUAGUGCCAAUGUAAUCUAUGGGAGUUGUACCUUGUCAUCCGUACCAGCAGGUGUGUGUUUGGUGUUAGUGUAGUGCCAAUGUAAUCUAUGGGAGUUGUACCUUGUCAUCCGUACCAGCAGGUGUGUGUUUGGUGUUAGUGUAGUGCCAAUGUAAUCUAUGGGAGUUGUACCUUGUCAUCCGUACCAGCAGGUGUGUGUUUGGUGUUAGUGUAGUGCCAAUGUAAUCUAUGGGAGUUGUACCUUGUCAUCCGUACCAGCAGGUGUGUGUUUGGUGUUAGUGUAGUGCCAAUGUAAUC